rfam:Asian citrus Psyllid, Diaphorina citri - Florida Strain, whole genome shotgun sequence.
CUAUAUGGGGAUAGCACGUUGAAUUCACAAGUUCCCAAUGGAUCACUGGAGUUAAGCAACGUUGCUCGUGGUUAGUAUUGGGGCAAUCACCUUUCUUCUCGGCCCCUCUCAG